rnacentral:rRNA from 1 species
AGAACGAACGCUGGCGGCAUGCCUAAUACAUGCAAGUCGAACGAACUCUUCGGAGUUAGUGGCGCACGGGUGCGUAACGCGUGGGAAUCUGCCCCUUGGUUCGGAAUAACAGUUGGAAACGACUGCUAAUACCGGAUGAUGACGAAAGUCCAAAGAUUUAUCGACCAAGGGAUGAGCCCGCGUAGGAUUAGCUAGUUGGUGAGGUAAAGGCUCACCAAGGCAACGAUCCUUAGCUGGUCUGAGAGGAUGAUCAGCCACACGUGGGACUGAGACACCGGCCCAGACCUCCGUACGGGAGCAGCAGGUAGG